rnacentral:rRNA from 1 species
AGUGAACGCUGGCGGCGUGCUUAACACAUGCAAGUCGAACGAGAACGGAUUAUAGCUUGCUAUAAUUGUCAGCUAAGUGGCGCACGGGUGAGUAAUGUAUAGAUAACCUGCCCUCUAGAAAGGAAUAACAGUUGGAAACGACUGCUAAUGCCCUAUAUGCCUUUAAUACAUAAGUAUGCAAGGGAAACGCUUUAGUGCUAGAGGAUGGGUCUGUAUGGUAUCAGUUAGUUGGUGAGGUAAUGGCUCACCAAGACAAUGACGCCUAACUGGUUUGAGAGGAUGAUCAGUCACACUGGAACUGAGACACGGUCCAGACUCCUACGGGAGGCAGCAAUGGGGAAUAUUGCGCAAUGGGGGCAACCCUGACGCAGCCAUACCGCGUGUGCGAUGAAGGUCUUCGGAUUGUAAAGCACUUUCAGUAGGGACGACGAUGACGGUACCUACAGAAGAAGUCACGGCUAACUUCGUGCCAGCAGCCGCCGUAA